rnacentral:lncRNA from 1 species
GCCCAGAACAUCUAAGAGCAUCACAGACCUAUUAUUGCCUCAAACUUCCUUUGCCUGGAAGGUCAGAGUCCCUCUAAGAAGCUAGUCGCGGAGGGUCACCUCCGCAUAGCUAGAUAGCAGGCUAAGAUCUCGUUCGUUAACGAAAUUAACCAGACAAAUCGCUCCACCAACCGAGAACGGCCAUGCACCACCACCCAUAGUAUCAAGAAUGAGCGGUGCCUUGCACUUGAGGUCUUGGCCCAGCGGUUGAAGGGACUUGUUCCCUUCUUCUACAUCCUGGGUUCUAACCUCACCGUGCACGUCUGUCACCCCCGCGGUGCCUUACAUGCUCACUGGGCUUGCAGGAUGUUCAGUGGACCCCGGGGAUUAGUUGUGGUGCGCGCAAGCUGGCCCGGACACCCUGGGUUAUUAAAAAAAAAAAGAAUGAGCUCUCAGUUUGUCAAUCCUUACUAUGUCUGGACUUGGUAAGUUUCCCCAUGUUGAGUCAAAUUAAGCUGCAGACUCCACUCCUGAUGGUGCCCUUCCGUCAAUUCCUAUAAGUUUCAACCUUGGAACCAUAGUCCCCCAGAACCCAAAAACUUUGAUUUCUCAUAAGGUGCUGACGGAGUUCUAGAAGCAACAUCCAUCAAACCCUAGUCAGCAUCGUUUAUGGUUAAGACUAGAAUGGUAUCUGAUCGUUUUCGAACCCCCAACUUUUAUUCUUGAUUAAUAAAAAACAUCAUUGGUAAAUGAUUCCGCAGUUAUUCGUCUUUUAUAAAUCUAAAUUUUAUUCCAACUUUGGUAAAUGAUUCCAACUUUUAUUCGUCUUGAUUAUUUGUGCAUUUGGGUGGCAAUUCUUAUAUCCACCGAGCAUGGAUUAUCAUAUGUGAAUGUUGGGUCAAUUUGAUGUUUGCUGGAGAAUACUUGGGUCUUUGAUUCUUGGGUUCUUUAUGAUAUCCUAAAUUAUCUCCUUUUACCUGCUAAUCUAGCAUGACAUUUAUGUAUGGUUUACAACAUAUUUUUCUUGUCAGUCUAGUUCUAGUUCUAGUUCUAGUUCUCUUCUGCAUGCAUGCUACUAGUACUCAAUUUCCUUAGCACUUCUCAUGUCGGGGUUCGUUUGUGAGCUGUGCAGAACGCAAAUGCAUCCCUCCACGGCCUGCGAAGACGUGAGAGGCAGGUGCCCCUCGAGACCAGCUUGUCAUGCCACGGGUUCGCAAGUCAUUCUGCUAGGUAAAUUUCGACAAUGAUCCUUCCACAGGUUUACUUAUUGAAACCUUGUUACGACUUCUCAUUCCUCUAAAUGAUAAGGUUCAGUAGACUUCUCGCAACGUCGGCGGCAUCGAAUCGCCCACGUCGCCGCAAUCCGAACACUUCACCAGACCAUUCAAUCGGUAGGGGCGACGGGUGGUGUGUACAAAGGGAAAGGGAGUAGUCAAUGUGGGCUAAUGACUCGCGUUUACUAGGAAUUCCUCAUUGAAGACCAACAAUUGCAAUGAUCUAUCCCCAUCACGAUGAAAUUUCAAAGAUUACUCGGGCCUGUCGGCCAAGGCUAUAGACUCGUUGAAUACAUCAGUAUAGCGCGUGUGCAACCCAGAACAUCUAAGGGCAUCACAGACCUAUUGUUGCCUCAAACUUCCUUUGCCUGGAAGGUCAUAGUCCCUCUAAGAAGCUAGUCGCGGAGGGUCACCUCUGCAUAGCUAGAUAGCAGGCUGAGAUCUUGUUCGUUAACGAAAUUAACCAGACAAAUCGCUCCACCAACUAAGAACGACCAUACACCACCACCCAUAGAAUCAAGA